GACAGAGGUGCCGAGCGUUAGGCGGAAUCACUGGGCUUAAAGCGUGUGUAGGCGGGUCGUUAAGUGUCUUGUGAAAUCCCACCGCUCAACGGUGGAACUGCUGGGCAUACUGGCGAUCUUGAGCCACCUAGGGGCAGACGGAACAAGCGGUGGAGCGGUGAAAUGCGUAGAUAUCGCUUGGAACGCCGACGGUGAAAACAGUCUGCUGGGGGUGUGCCGACGCUGAGACACGAAAGCCAGGGGAGCGAACGGG
rnacentral:rRNA from 1 species